UAGCAUUGAGUGCCUUGUUGUUAAAAGUUGUCGUUGAUUUUUGUUCAGGCGACCACUUAGCACGUGGUGUGGGUGAUGUAACUGUCGUAUCACCAGUUCCUGUCGUAGUCAGAGGUGCUUUCCAUCCGUCUUCAACUGCGAGCCAAACAUCCUCACCUAAGGCUUGGAGAUAAGCCAUCAUUCGAACUUUCCAAUGACCAAAAUCUUUUCCAUCAAAUUGUGGAGGAAGAUUCGAAGUAUCAAACAACCGAAUGUCGGUUUCAAUAUGGAAGCGCAGGGGAUUAAACUUGGGCCAGGUGCAUCUAAGGUUGUGGUGGAACAUGUUAUCGAAUCUACAGCAAGAUUAUGGAAACCUUGCAAUGGUAUGAAAAUAUUGGAAGAUGCCAUAGGUUGUUCUAUUGCAUGGUAAGUUGUAGCUUAAGUUAGAUUAAGUUGGACUUUUUCUUGGAUUUGUAUUCUUUAGUUAGAUUUCAAUUUUUUUUUCUUCCUACUGUAACAGGAUUGAGACGGGAUCAGUGAUGUGCUUUCUACUUUCCAUUUCACAACGCAACUACUUCCAUUUGAAGGUAAUUUCAUUCAUCAUUCAUUUGCAUAUUGUGAUUAUAACUGGAAUUAAUCUGUAGUUGUUGUGAAAGUGGUGCUUAAUGAACUUCUUUUAAAAAACUCAUUUUUAUUGUAUUAAACCAGCUAAACAACCAAAGCUUUCUAGCAAUUGUAGGAACCUGUAGCUUUAUUCAGACCCACCAAACUUAUAAAUUAUGUCUGAUAUUAAAUCUUUUUUCUGGAGUUGGAUAUUUGUUUUGGCCAACUGUGAGCUUUGACGACUUCAUGUGAUAGGAGAACUAAAUCUUUUUUUGUAAAUUGAUAUGGAUGCAGUUUGUGAGUGGCUCGUAUGACCAUCUUUCAAACUCUUUGAUGGGUGAUUUUAAUUUGAUUGUGCAGGUUACCUUGUGAGAAUGAUGAUCUUCAAGGUGAUGAUGAGGUUAGCUUGGGAUCAGAUGUUUGUUGUCAUCAUUCCAGGGCUGUUGAACAUUUUAAGUUUUAGAAUAGUGAAGCAUUUGAAUGAUGUAAAACUUUUUGAUAAACAUUUUUAUUUUAGAAAGUGAUGUGAUUUGUACAUGAAUUU
rnacentral:lncRNA from 1 species